rnacentral:tRNA from 1 species
GGCCGGAUGGUGUAGUUGGUUAUCACGUGUCCUUAACACGGACAAGGUCGAGAGUUCGAGCCUCUCUUUGGUCA